UACGGAGGGGGCUAGCGUUGUUCGGAAUUACUGGGCGUAAAGCGCACGUAGGCGGCUUUGUAAGUUAGAGGUGAAAGCCCAGAGCUCAACUCUGGAACUGCCUUUAAGACUGCAUCGCUUGAAUUGUGUAGAGGUAAGUGGAAUUCCUAGUGUAGAGGUGAAAUUCGUAGAUAUUCGGAAGAACACCAGUGGCGAAGGCGACUUACUGGACACAUAUUGACGCUGAGGUGCGAAAGCGUGGGGAGCAAACAGG
rnacentral:rRNA from 1 species